rnacentral:ncRNA from 1 species
UUAAAGUUUUAUUCUUGCUAUAAUAAUUAUUAUAUAAUUGUACUAUAUACCAGUUUUUGCAAAAUAAGUUUUAAUAAUUAUUUGGUAGUGGUGGAUAUUAUUAUUUAACGUAAGUUAGAAAUAGCAAUUUAUAUAUUUUCGGUCAAAAUCGUGCCAGCCACCGCGGUUAUACGUGAGAAAGAAUUAAUUAUUAUUAGUUUAUAGUUAAAUGAUUAUUUACCUUUAAAAUUAAUAUUUUUAGGUGAAAUUUUAAUUUUAUAAUAAUAGGUUUAUGUUGAAGCUAUGAAAUUUAGAUAAUAAACAAGGAUUAGAUACCCUUUUAUUCUAAAUGUUAAUAUUAACUAGGGUAGUAAUAGUUAUGUUCUUGAAACCCAAAGAAUUUGGCGGUAUUUUAUUCUUUUUAGAGGAACCUGUCCUGUAAUUGAUAACCCACGAUGGAGAGUUACUUAUUUUUGUUUCCAUUUUGUAUACCUCCGUCAUCAGAAUAUCUUUUUAGAGAAAAUAUUCUAAUAACACUAAAUGAGAUAUGUCAGGUCAAGGUGCAAUUUAUGAAUAAGUAGAGAUGGGUUACAAUAAAAAUAUUUAUACGGAUUAUAAUUAUUAUUUAUUUAUAUGAAGGCGGAUUUAAAAGUAAAAUUGUUUACUUAUCAAUUUGAUUUUAGCUCUAAAAUAUGCACACAUCGCCCGUCGCUCUUAUUUUAAAAUAAGAUAAGUCGUAACAUAGUAGAUGUACCGGAAGGUGUAUCUAGUAAGUCAAA